AAUUACGACAUACGGAGUCCAGACAGCAACAAAGGCCGUGUAACUCCGGCCAGCAGCCGCGGUAUACGGGGGGUGCGAGCGCAAAUCGGAAUAACUGGGCGUAAAGGGCACGCAGGCGGUUGUUUGAGUGAGGUGUGAAAGCCCCGGGCUUAAACUGGGAAUUGCAUUUCAGACUGAACAACUAGAGUACUUUAGGGAGGGGUAGAAUUCCACGUGUAGCGGUGAAAUGCGUAGAGAUGUGGAGGAAUACCGAAGGCGCAGCCCUUU
rnacentral:rRNA from 1 species